UAAUUUGAUAACAUAAACAGCUAAUUAAUAUUUUCUUAAUGAAUGUGUCAAGUCCAUAGAGGUUAUCUAAAUACUAAACUGAGGAAGCAUAUAUCAUUGAAAAGUGUAACAUAUUGACAAAAUAACAAAAUAUGGUUUGUUUGGAUUCCGCAGCCCUGCUUCUAUUCCCAUUUGCUCCUUCUUUCUUGUCACUUCUUUUAAAAUAGGAAAAAUGGUUCGAUGGACCCUUGUACCAUGUCUUUUUUGUAAUGUGGAUUCUUCUGCUUACAUGUUCGUCAUCUAGACCCUUGAACCCACUAAAAAGCAAUAUUUCAAAUCCUUUAACCAUUGACCAAGCUUAUGUGGCAUCAAAAGGGAUGACUAGGAUGAGUGGAGGUUAUUUUUUAUCCAUUUUAUAUUAAAAUAAUUAAAAAAAAUAAAAAGAACCCCUCCCCCCCCCCUUUUCUCCUCUAUUCAUCAUCUUCAUCUCCUCUGCAACACAUUUCCUAUUUUGACUCUCAAAAUUUCAAAAUCAUCUGAAGUUUCAAUCAUUCACAAACAAGAUUUGGAACCCAGCUUCAAAUCAAAUAGAGUUUCAACCUUUUGAUAAAUAAGAUUCAUAACCCAGCUCUAAAAUCAUCUAAAGUUUCAACCUUUCACAAAUAAAAUUUGAAACCCAAGUUGAAAAAUCAUAUAAAGUUUCAAUCUUUACAAUCAAGAUUCAAACUCUGUUCACAGAAUCGUGUAAAUCAACAAAAAUUCACAGAAAAAGGGUUGAGUUAGAACGGGCUGCCAUGAACAAGAAAUCUUGAUUGUUUGACUUACCGUGAUUGAACAAGAAAUCAUAUUGCUUUUGUGAUUUUGUGAACAAGAAAUCAUGUAAAUUUAUUUGAUUUGACAUCAAACAAUCAACAAAACAAGAAAUCUUGAUUGUUUCCUACCGUGAUCUACAAAAUCAAGAAAAUGAAAAACAAUUGUUGAUUUUGGAAAUUUGAGUUAGAAAGGGUUGCCAUGGCCAUUAGAGCCCCAAGGUUGCCAUGACCGACGACGAUGACGACUAACCCUUCACGAACCACCCAUCAUUCAUCUUUCACCACCAUCUUUUAUCUACAUUUUUCACAUCCCACACACUUUAAAUCUUUAACCAACAUACACACAAAAGCUAAUAUUGGUUCUUUUGGUGUUAAUAUUGAUGGUUAAUUUGUAACCAAUACACAAAUGGUGGAGGCUGGUGGGGGUUUACACUGGUGGUAGGUUACGGUAGCGUGUUAAUGAAUUGUUGUCACACCGGUAGCGGUGGUGCGACACCGGAGAGAUGGAGAAGUGAAGGAGAAGAGAGAAGAUGGAGAAGGAAGAUGGAGAAGAAAGAUGGAGGAGAUAGAAAACUUAACCUCAUUUUAAAUUUUAUUUAUUUUUUAAUUCUCAAUUUAAAUUUUUUAUUUUUUUAAUAUUUCAUUUCUUAUGUGGCAUUUUAAAAAUGAUGUGGAAUUUCAUGUAGUAUUUAAAAUGACAUGGAAGCUGACGUGGGG
rnacentral:lncRNA from 1 species